rnacentral:tRNA from 1 species
UGUAGCUCAGUGGUAGAGCAUGUGUUUAGCAUGCACAAGGUUCUGUGUUCAAUGCCCAGCA